rfam:Leisingera methylohalidivorans DSM 14336 strain MB2, DSM 14336, complete genome.
AUGACCGACAGCAAACUGCCGGACAUCCAGGCGGGCGGAGAGAAGGGUUACACCAUUUCGCUAGCCGCCCAUGCCGGGGCCUCGAUGAUUCACGAAUGCGCGG